UGCGCCCGUCCUAACCUAAAAUCUUGGAUCUGCCCCUCAUAUGGUUUAGGGGUGGGUAGCUCGACCGUUUCCAAGUUAUCAAACGAGGGGGUAGAGUGGCUCAAAGAAUGCCACCUAUAUGAUUUACUUACAUUAAGGUAUAUAUGUAGGACUCAAAUCUAUGGUGGGUUCCAAAUCUGUGGCAGAUUCCUAAUCUAUGGCAAAUGUGACGUCAUGCCAUCCCAAAUCUAUGGCAGAUUUUUUAUAAUCCUAAUCUAUGGCAAGUUUUGUAAUUUCCUAAUCUAUGGCGGAUUUAUGUUCACGGUUUCCAAAUCUAUUGCAAAUGAUGAGCAAAUGGAAAAUAAUGCAGUACCUAUACGACCAAUGAUUUGUCUUAAAUAAGUGGACAUGUACGACAACGGUAGCAUGUCUUUAAACAUUUGUGAAAUAAACAUUCAAUAAUGGUCAACCAAAUCGUGAUGGUAAAAAUAAAACGUAAAUGAUAAAUUCAUAUACCUUAAUACAGACUUCAAGAUUGAAAUGAUGUGCCCCGUAAAAAUAAACAUUUUCUAAUCUUUGCAUGGUACCUGUUUAACCCAUUCAUUAAACCAACUAGUCUAGUAAGUCCCUUAAGAAGGUUUUUUUUUUAUAUAAAACAGAAAUGAUCAGUUUCAAUUUUCAAGUAAUAUUUAUUUCUUCGUUUAUGCAUCUUUUUUUAUUAUUGAAUGACGAUUUAAAUCAAAUUGAUAUCAGUUUUUUUUUUUUUAUCUUUCACUUUAUAAACUUUGCCAGUCGUAGACAGUAAAAUGUUUUCUAUAACUCCUUUCUCUAAAAACUUGAUGAAAAAAUCGGUGCCGUUGUUCAUCGCGGGCUUUGGCCGGUACAGCACAUUUCGUCCGCCUUCCGAAUACUAGUAAUAGGUCACAUCUUCCUUGAGAUUAUCUGCAAAUUGUUGUCGAGGGAAAUGCCUAUAUCUGGAAUGGUGUUCAAAUUUAUGGGUUCCGCAAGUUUGCGGGGCGACGAUGUAAAUGGCGUUAUUCAAUUGUGACGCAAUUCAAAGAUCUGCCAUAGAUUUGA
rnacentral:lncRNA from 1 species